rnacentral:rRNA from 1 species
AUUGAACGCUGGCGGCAGGCCUAACACAUGCAAGUCGAACGAGUGGCGGACGGGUGAGUAAUGUCUGGGAACCUGCCUGAUGGAGGGGGAUAACUCCUGGAAACGGUAGUUAAUACCGCAUACCAUCAGAUGUGCCAAGAUGGGAUUAGCUUGUUGGUGGGGUAACGGCUCACCAAGGCGACGAUCCCUAGCUGGUCUGUGAGGAUGACCGGCCACACUGGAACUGAGACACGGUCCAGACUCCUACGGGAGUCAGCAGUAGGGAAUCUUGGACAAUGGGCGAAAGCCUGAUCAAGCCAUGCCGCGUGUGUGAAGAAGGUCUUCGGAUUGUAAAGCACUGUAAGUUGGGAGGCGUUACCAACAGAAAAAGCACCGGCUAACUUCGUGCCAGCCGCCGCGGUAAUUC